rnacentral:sRNA from 1 species
GUUAAAGCGGGUGAAAAGCCCGCUCGCCGUA